UACGGGGGGGGCAAGCGUUGUUCGGAAUUACUGGGCGUAAAGGGCUCGUAGGCGGUUCGGUAAGUCGGAUGUGAAAUCUCCAGGCUCAACCUGGAGGGGUCAUUCGAUACUGCCGUGACUAGAGUUCGGUAGGGGAGUGUGGAAUUCCUGGUGGAGCGGUGAAAUGCGCAGAUAUCAGGAGGAACACCCGUAGCGAAGGCGGCACUCUGGGCCGAUACUGACACUGAGGAGCGAAAGCGUGGGGAGCGAACAGG
rnacentral:rRNA from 1 species